GUAACAAGGUUUCCGUAGGUGAACCUGCGGAAGGAUCAUUAUAGUUCGUGUAGCUCUAAUACUGUGGGUCCUGGGUAAAAAACCAUCGGAGAACAGCCUCGGGUUGCUUCUAUGGGCCCGCAAGGGAGCCCAGUACCGCCAACCUUGCUAAAAUUUUAAAAAAAGUCGUUGCCUCGGCGGGUUUGCCUGCCGGCGGAUAAAACUUAAACUCUUUUUUUUAAACCACAAUAUUGUAACAGUCUGAGUAAAUAUUUAAUAAAUAUUAAAACUUUCAACAACGGAUCUCUUGGUUCUGGCAUCGAUGAAGAACGCAGCGAAAUGCGAUAAGUAGUGUGAAUUGCAGAAUUCAGUGAAUCAUCGAAUCUUUGAACGCACAUUGCGCCCCUCGGUAUCCCGGGGGGCAUGCCUGUUCGAGCGUCAUUUCUACCACUCAAGCACAGCUUGGUAUUGGGCGUCGUUGGCUUUUUAGUUAACGUGCCUUAAAUGUAGACGGCGGCAAGCACCAGUUCCGAGCGUAGCAGAAAACUCGCUUUGGGGGCUUUGGAGCAUUGCCAACCGCAUGAAGCUUUUUUACAAGUUUGACCUC
rnacentral:misc_RNA from 1 species